AUUGAACGCUGGCGGCAUGCCUUACACAUGCAAGUCGAACGGCAGCACGGGCUUCGGUCUGGUGGCGAGUGGCGAACGGGUGAGUAAGGUAUCGGAACGUACCUUUCAGUGGGGGAUAACGUAGCGAAAGUUACGCUAAUACCGCAUAUUCUGUGAGCAGGAAAGCAGGGGAUCGCAAGACCUUGCGCUGAUUGAGCGGCCGAUAUCAGAUUAGCUAGUUGGUGGGGUAAAGGCCUACCAAGGCGACGAUCUGUAGCGGGUCUGAGAGGAUGAUCCGCCACACUGGAACUGCGACACGGUCCAGACUCCUACGGGAGGCAGCAGUGGGGAAUUUUGGACAAUGGGGGCAACCCUGAUCCAGCCAUGCCGCGUGAGUGAAGAAGGCCUUCGGGUUGUAAAGCUCUUUCGGCCGGGAAGAAAUCGCAUGGGCUAAUACCCUGUGUGGAUGACGGUACCGGAAUAAGAAGCACCGGCUAACUACGUGCCAGCCGCCGCAGUAACAC
rnacentral:rRNA from 1 species